GGGGCUUAGAAUAGCAGGGUGAGAGGGAGUUUUGUGGAGCACUAAUUAAUGUAGAUCCUGUUGCGGUACUGUAUUUUGAGUAGUAUUUCUGGUUCAUCAGGUUUGGAAUUGGAAUUGGUUACUCUCGCCUGUCGUGAUGUUGGGUUGCUAUUUAACCAUAUUCGUGUAAUAAGUAGUUGGCUGUAUAGAGUUCUGUAGUUGGAUGUAGAGUUCUUGCUGCGGUUGUGAGGUGUUUUGUGUCUGUUAAUUUAAAAUCAUGGCUGAUCCUUGUGAGCGGAACCUAAAAACUAGCUUUGUAUUAUCAGUUUCAUUGCUGCAAAUGAAAUUGGGAGGAGGGAGCUCCUAAUGUCGAAAAAAAUGUUGUUCAUGUUGUGCUACGCUCUGCACCAAUCGUUGAUUUGCGUGCCAGGCCACCACCACGGUCGCACCUGCGUCUCUGCUCUAUUCAAUCACAUCGUCCUACGAUGCACACAUCAUAAGUCUGGAAGUGAUCCUGGUAAGACAAUUAGAAUCACAUUUGUUAAUCUAUCACAUGCCCAAUGUAAUCAAUGGUUAAUUUGCUAUCUCAGGUUCAAGAGUUUCUUGGUCAGAUCUGGUCAUUGGGAUCCCAUGGAUGCUAGAAUGCAUUUAUUCAAUAAACAUAUUUGAUCAUGUCUUCUCAAACCAGUCAGCCUCCCAAGAUGAAGUCAAUAAACUGGAGCACUCCAAUCUAUCUGCCACUUCCCACUUAGCCCCUCAAACCAGUAUGACUACUAGCCAACUACACUCAAAUCAUAAAGCUCUACAAUCUACUGUUACUAUCUCACAUGGUAUAUACUAGCGAGAUAUUUUUUCAAUUGUUCACUAAACUACAAUUAUUUUUUAAAGGGAGUACCUAGAACUCAUCUAGAUGAGAUAUAAUUUGGUCUCAUUCACUUUGAAAAUAAGAACAAAUACAAUCCACGUCAGCACGCGCACAUCUUAUAGCAUCACAUCCAAUGGCUAUAAAAGAUGAAUGAGACCAAAUUAUAUCCCAUCUAGAUGAGUUCUAACAAAACUGUUUUUUAAAACCAAAAUCAUCCUAUUGUUGCAUAGAUGUAAAGUACAUAUCUGGUAGCUUACGAUCGAGAUGCAGGAUCGCACACCCUCGACUCCUCCUAUCCCGACCCCGGCAUCUCUCUCCUUUCUCCCAAUCUGGCCGGUAGGACAAAUCCUGGCAGGCAGCGCUGGCGACCACAACCUCGAGAAGACCAGUGGUCCGCCUCAAGUUUGUUAGGAUAAUCCUGACUUAAUCUCAAGUCAGUUGGUUAGCCGGGUUGUGUGGAUCAAAUAGCUGCGUUGCUUGGCCGGUGCGUUACAUGAGAUGUGGGUGCGUGUGCAUGGCGUGGUUAGUUAGUGCGUGCUGCAUGCAUGGAGUUAGUGGCCGGGUGUGCCGGCUGGGUAGUGUGUGUGCACCUCCCUAUAAAAGCCCUCGUGUGUACUGCUUGUAGUUGCGCCGGUCUGUUGCUGCGUCAUGGUGACAAUAUGUGCCGAGCCGAGGGGAAGGGGCCUAAGGAAGAUGUAGUCUCCGUCGGGACCAUGGUACGCGCCAGGUCGAUGCGAGAGUUCUUCCGGGGUUGUGAUGCGUGUGUGCGUGUGUACCUCCAUGUAUGUGUGUUUGAAUACUUGAGUUGAAUAGAAGCCAACAUACAGGCCGCUUGGCGGCCGGGGCGUUCGUCGCCGGAAAAUUCUGUUCAUCUUCUUCUACCUUCGUCCGGUAUUCGUCGCCGGAGGGCGGUUCAGCGUAUGUCGUCGGUAGGUUUGUCCCAACAUUUGGUAUCAGAACUUGGUUGUCUUGGGCGUGGUUUGCCGUGUUGGAGGCGUGACGGCGAUGGCCGUGUUCGUCGGUGGCUGCGUGAUGGAGCUCGAGACCGUGUGUCGGCCUAUGGAGGUGCGCGGCGCUGCACUAUCAUGACGGACUUGGGGGCGACGCGCGGCAAGUCCGGGUAUGGUGGUGGCACACGACUUCGACUUCGAGCGACGCGACAACUGCGGCGGCAUGGCGAGGAGGCCGUGGAGGACCUGCAUGGAGGCACGGAGACACGUGGCGGCAUCGACGGCUGUGGCGACGAUGACGCCCGGCGUUUCCAGACGCGGCUCCGAUGAUGAGUGACGCGGCAAUCAUGGCGCGGGUGCGGCGAGCACACGGCAGGUCGCAGCGGGCACGGGGUGCACGGCGGCAUCAGGCGAAUGAUGGUCAACCACGAGCCAUGUCUCCUGUGAUGGCGAGGCGAGAAGACAAGUCAAGAUUAGGGGGAGUUUGUUAGGAUAAUCCUGACUUAAUCUCGAGUGAGUUGGUUAGCCGGGUUGUGUGGAUCAAGUAGCUGCGUUGCUUGGCCGGUGCGUUACAUGAGAUGUGGGUGCGUGUGCAUGGCGUGGUUAGUUAGUGCGUGCUGCAUGCAUGGAGUUAGUGGCCGGGUGUGCCGGCUGGGUAGUGUGUGUACCUGGCUAUAAAAGCCCUCGUGUGUACUGCUUGUAGUUGCGCCGGUCUGUUGCUGCGCCAUGGUCACGGUAUGUGCCGAGCCGAGGGGAAGGAGCUUAAGGAAGAUGUAGUCUCCGUCGGGACCAUGGUACGCGCCAGGUCGAUGCGAGAGUUCUUCCGGGGUUGUGAUGCGUGUGUGCGUGUGUACCUCCAUGUAUGUGUGUUUGAGUACUUGAGUUGAAUAGAAGCCAACAUACAGGCCGUUUGGCGGCCGGGGCAUUCGUCGCCGGAAAAUUCUGUUCAUCUUCUUCUACCUUCGUCCGGCGUUCGUCGCCGGAAAAUUCUGUUCAUCUUCUUCUACCUUCGUCCGGCGUUCGUCGCCGGAGGGCGGUUCAGCGUAUGUCGCCGGUGGGUUUGUCCCAACACAAGUAACCUCACCGCUGGCCUCCACCCCUAUCCUCGCCCCCAAAGCAAUCGACCUCGUCUCCCACCCUCUCCUCCUCGCCUCAUCAAAAGAGAAGAGAACAGGGAGAUUGACCAGGUCAGGCGCCGGUCAUGGCGGCGGCCAGAUCCGCCACGGCCGUAGCCACCUCGCUGAGGCUCGGAUCUUGGCUGCCAUGGAGGUCAGAACAACACGCCGGGACAGGACCUAACCUCGACCACAUGAGAAGACGUCAGACUGCUCCACGCCACCGACGCCAUGGAUCUUCCCCCUUCUAGCAGGCUAGCAUUCAUUCUUCUCUGAUCCACUAUGUUGCCCCUUCAUCUUCAACCUCUCUACAGAUUUCUCUUUCUCCCCACAACACAAUCCCUUCUCUACCCGUGGUUCGUCACCUCAAGACCUCAAGAUUUAGUUAUGGUUCCAGUCAGAUUGGUUUGUUGCGUACUUAAUCAUCACCCUAUAGAUGAAUUAUUAUUUGUUUCUGCCAUAAAUGUUGUUCAUGUUGUUGUCCAUAUAUUUAGUUGGUGUCACAACAGUGAUUUGAGCAUCAUGAAAAUAUAGGAAUAACCCUUAAAUUUUAGUCUGUUAUACAGAAACGAGGACAUGGCGCCAUGCAAGCGAGAGGAGCAAGGUGGCUUCUGGGGCUUAGAAUAGGAGGGUGAGAUGGAGUUUUGUGGAGCACUAAGGUAGAUACAGUUGCGGUAUUGCAUUUUGAGUAGUAUUUCUGGUUCAUCAGGUUUGGUAUUGGGAUUGGUUGCUCUUGCCUGUUGUGAUGUUGGGUUGCUAUAUACCCAUAUUCGUGUAAUAAGUAGUUGGCUUUAUAGAGUUCUGUAGUUGGAUGUAGAGUUCUUGCUGCGGUUGUGAGGUGUUUUGUGUCUGUUAAUUUAAAAUCAUGGCUGAUCCUUGUG
rnacentral:lncRNA from 1 species